UCUUCGUCAUCUAGUAGAAGUAGAAGUCGUAACAAGGUUUCCGUAGGUGAACCUGCGGAAGGAUCAUUACCGGGAAGGGGCUCUGCGCUCCCGGGGGGCUUCCGGCCCCCCACUCCUCACCCCUGUGUACCUACCUCUGUUGCUUUGACGGAUCCCGAGGGCGCCCUCGGCGCCGGCUUUCGGGCCCGCGAGCGUCCGUCAGAGGCCCAUUUAAUUCUGUUCAUUAGUGGUGUCCGAGUCAGUAUAAUAGCAAAAACUUUCAACAACGGAUCUCUUGGUUCCAGCAUCGAUGAAGAACGCAGCGAAAUGCGAUAACUAAUGUGAAUUGCAGAAUUCAGUGAAUCAUCGAGUCUUUGAACGCACAUUGCGCCCUUCGGUAUUCCGGGGGGCAUGCCUGUUCGAGCGUCAUUACACCCCUCAAGCCUCGCUUGGUAUUGGGUUUUCGCCCCCUGGGCGUGCCCGAAAUUCAGUGGCGGUCCGGGACGAUCUUCAAGCGUAGUAACCUUCCAUUUCGCUUCUAAAGGUUCCCCGUGACUUGCCGGACGACCCCAGAUCCUCAAAGAUUGACCUCGGAUCAGGUAGGGAUACCCGCUGAACUUAAGCAUAUCAAUA
rnacentral:rRNA from 1 species